rnacentral:rRNA from 1 species
ACGAACGCUGGCGGCGUGCUUCACACCUGCAAGUCGAACGGAAAGGCCCUGCUUUUGUGGGGUGCUCGAGUGGCGAACGGGUGAGUAACACGUGAGUAACCUGCCCUUGACUUUGGGAUAACUUCAGGAAACUGGGGCUAAUACCGGAUAGGAGCUCCUGCUGCAUGGUGGGGGUUGGAAAGUUUCGGCGGUUGGGGAUGGACUCGCGGCUUAUCAGCUUGUUGGUGGGGUAGUGGCUUACCAAGGCUUUGACGGGUAGCCGGCCUGAGAGGGUGACCGGCCACAUUGGGACUGAGAUACGGCCCAGGCUCCUACGGGAGGCAGCAGUGGGGAAUAUUGCACAAUGGGCGGAAGCCUGAUGCAGCAACGCCGCGUGCGGGAUGACGGCCUUCGGGUUGUAAACCGCUUUCGCCUGUGACGAAGCGUGAGUGACGGUAAUGGGUAAAGAAGCACCGGCUAACUACGUG